rnacentral:lncRNA from 1 species
UUUUAAUCCAUUCUUCUAUUUCUGAAUACUUAGAUUGUUUACAGUUAUUUAAAUUUUUUUUAGUUGCCAAUGGACCUUUAUUUUAUUUAUUUAUAUGUGGUGCUGAGAAUCAGACCCAGUGCCUCCCACAUGCUAGGCAAGCCCUUUACCGCUGAGCCACAACCCCAGCCCUGUUUCCAGUUUUUGUUGGUCUGUUUUUGUGGUACUGGGGAUUGAACCAGGGUCUCACACAUGAACAAGCCAUUUCUACAUCCCCAGCCCUGCUUGUUUUUAAAACUACUCCAAACAUGCUUUUUAUACUCAUCUUAAUAGUUACCUAGAGCAUAUUUCAAGCAGUUGAAAUACCACUGCUGAGAUAGAAAUACAUCUCACAAUGUAUGACUUUCCAGGAAAAUAGUACCAACUCACCCUGUUCCUGUUGUCCAAGGAGACCAAACAUAUGGUUUAAAACUAUUUCGGCCUUAUUAUUUUAAAUGUUUGAAAAUUCAUAGAUGAAAUGCCAUUUAACUUCACUAUUUGAAAAUUUGUGUUUAUUUACUUCCCAGUGAAGCUGGACUUCUUAUAUAUCUUUUGGAUAUUUAAAGAAUCACAUGGGCCCUGGUGGCACAUGCCUGUAAUAACCUAGUCAGGAGGCUGAGACAGGAGGAUCUCAGGUUUGAGGCCAGCAUCAGCAAUUUAGUGAGACCUUCAGCAACUUAGCAAGACCCUGUCUCAAAAUUUAAAAAAGAAAAAAGUUAAAAAGAUUUGGAGUGUAGCUCAGUGGUAAAAUGACCCUGGGUUCAAUCCCUAGUUCAGAGAGAGAAAGAGAGAAAGAAAGAGGAUGGAGAGAAGAAAGGGAAAUAAAAUAAUCAUCUUUUAAAAAGGUGAUUUAAACAUUUGUUUAGUUUCUAUCCUGUACUUGGUCUGUAUAGCACGAAGGAAAUAUACUCAAAUUACUGAUAAAGCACACGACUGGAUACAGACAAAACCAGAUAUACAUAUUCAUAUAUCAUUUACGUGUACAAUCACUUAAUGCUGAGUUUCUUCUUCUCUUGGCACUUCCCCAUUCCCUCCUGUUUUCAAAUAUCGCUGCCCAAAUCUAAUUUGCAGCAUUGUCCUCACUUCUGAGCUCUAGAUAAUAAUACUUUGUAGCCUGUUUGACACCAACUCUGGGAGUCCUUAGUGGCAUUAUUUCAUCCUCAAAACUUUCAAAACCAAAGUCAUUAACUGACUUCUGCUCUUGUACCCUGUCAUGUGUUCCCUGUGUGAUAAUGGUGUCUUCACUUACUCAACUGGGUUUUUAAAAUUAUGAGACAUUAUACACGAAAAAGCAGUAUAUGUUAUAACAAUAAUAAACAUCAUGUCUGUACCCUUUGGCUUAAGAUCUAAUUUAUCAAAAUCACUAGAAGCCUCCAAUGUGCCCCUCCUUCAUCUUGAAUUGUCUUAAAAUUACUGUUGCCUUAUAUUUCUUAAGAGACCUAUACAGCAAAAAGUAUAGGUAGCAUAUUGUUUAGUUUUGCCUGUUUUCAAUUUUAUAUAAAUGCAUCCUGUAUAACAUAUUUUCUGUGAUUUAUUUCACUAGUUUUUUGAGGUUCAUCUUGAUGAUGGAAUCCUGUUUUCACUUUAACAGAAUCCAUUCAAGAAACUUAACAUUUUAUGCAUGCUUUAGUUGUUUCUGAGUUUCUGUUACUAAAACAGUGGUGCAGUUCUGCUAGGAAUAUCCUAGAACAUGCUUCCUGAUACACGUGUCUGCCAGGCAUGAGCAUAGAAGUGGACUCACUCAACUGAAGGACAAAUGCAUACUCACCUUUAUUAGAUACCACCAAAGUGGUAUCUAAAUGGUGGUACCAGUUUUCACUUCCACCAGUGGGAAAUGACCAUUCUCAUUACUUAACAUCAAUAUUUUGCUCAACUUUUAAUGCUGGCUAAUAAUGGUGGAUGUGAAA